rnacentral:miRNA from 1 species
AUUCCCUCCGGUCAUUGAGACUGUACAGUCUUGAUGACUGGAGGGAAUCCCUUCCGGCCAUCGAGAUUGUAUGGUCCCGAUGACCGGAGGGAAU